rnacentral:tRNA from 1 species
GCCCCUGUAGCUCAGUAGGAUAGAGCGACAGAUUCCUAAUCUGUGGGCCGCGUGUUCGACUCACGCCAGGGGCA